GCCUGACGCAGCGACGCCGCGUGGGGGAUGAAGGUCUCGGAUUGUAAACCCCUUCGGGAGGGAAGAUGGGAUGGGGUAACCCAUUCGGACGGUACCUCCAGAAGCAGCCACGGCUAACUUCGUGCCAGCAGCCGCGGUAAUACGAAGGUGGCAAGCGUUGUUCGGAUUUACUGGGCGUACAGGGAGCGUAGGCGGUUGGAUAAGCCCUCCGUGAAAUCUCCAGGCUUAACCUGGAAAGUGCAGAGGGGACUGUUCAGCUAGAGGAUGGGAGAGGAGCGCGGAAUUCCCGGUGUAGCGGUGAAAUGCGUAGAGAUCGGGAGGAAGGCCGGUGGCGAAGGCGGCGCUCUGGAACAUUUCUGACGCUGAGGCUCGAAAGCGUGGGGAGCAAACAGGAUUAGAUACCCUGGUAGUCCACGCCUUAAACGAUGGAUACUAAGUGUCGGCGGGUUACCGCCGGUGCCGCAGCUAACGCAGUAAGUAUCCCGCCUGGGAAGUACGGCCGCAAGGUUG
rnacentral:rRNA from 1 species